GCUUACGGCCAUACCAGCCCAAGAACGGCCAGUCUCGUCUGAUCUCGGAAGCUAAGAAGGCUUGGCCCUGGUUAGUACUUGGAUGGGAGACCUCCUGGGAAUUCCAGGUGCUGUAAGCU
ensembl:rRNA 5S_rRNA 5S ribosomal RNA